CAUUGUAGAGCAGCCAUUGAAUCAACACAGAGAGGCGGCAGCGUGCCUCUGACUCACCAGGAACCCAGCUCCUCACUGUUCCGCCUGCAAACAGACCUCAAAGCUCCUUGUUCCUUGCUUUGUGCUGCUGAACGCAAGUGGGACCCAGGGAAGGCCACAGAUGCUCUCUGGAAGUACAAUAGCUAUUUUCCUGGUCUGCAUCUGAGGUAGACACGGAAGGAUCAGAGGGACUCAGGGCAUUGCCCUCAGGGGAGUUCUUGGUGCUCAAUGCCUGCAUACCUCACUUAUGCCAUGAAGGUAUUCCUUAAAGGAAAUGAUAAAAAUAUCACUUUGAUGAGGAAUCGAAAAUUAACCAACUCGAUAAGUGGAAUACCCAGGAUUCCCCAAACGGACUGGCUUCAAGAAGGAAAAGAUGGGUGUUGGAAAAUUUAAUGGACUGAAGAAAUGGCAGCAUUUGUUUUUGAAUGAGAAUAAAAUAAGUACAGUCACAAGUAUUGCACAAAUGUUUCAUUUGUGAGCUUCUCUCCGUCCAGAUAAAGGUAACUUUUUGGGAAAUUCAUUUGUAAAGGAAUAAUUUCAUCUACUUUCCUACAUUGAGAUCAGUUUCCAGAAAUGAAGAUACCAUAAAAUUUAUUCUCUAAAACUAUGCCAUUGAAAACCAAAUUCUAAAAAUGUUCUCAGACUUCAAACUUUAUGAAAAUGAAAUAACAUUAUUUAGCUUACCUUUCUUAUUUUUUGAUAGCACCUAUGUUGGGCUAUGAUUAGACAUUAUCAAACUGUAAUGCAAAAACGGUACUGAAGUCUAUUUGAAGUCUAAGUAGAGCAAUGCUGAAAGCCAGGAUUGUACACACAUUUUGGAAGAGGUGAUUCUAGAUAUAAGAACCAUUUACAGUAGUAAUUCCAUCCAUGUUAGGAAGAGCCUAUGUUUAGGCUCGACUCCAAAAUUAAUCUGAAAAAAACCAACCACCCUCCUGGCAUAAGUGUUUAAGGCUGCAUUCUGUACAUCACAGUGAAAAAUACAGGGCCUGAAACAUGUUUUGGUACAGAAAAAAAGAUGUGAGGUUUCUGAUUCCAAGUCAAAGCAGUAAUGAAUUAUGAAAUAAAAAUAUAGCAAUAAUUGUUUUCCUUUUUCAAUGUUUUUAAAAUUUAAUAUAAAAUAGCAUAUGAAUAUUAUAUAUAUUUACAUUAUUACAUACCUAUUCCAUAAUUUAAUAAGAAUAAAGUGUUUGCUUCCA